ensembl:lncRNA
AUUUGUUAUGACUAAUACACAGUUGUCUAUCUAUGCCAUAAACACAUUCUCAGUUGUACCAUUUAGACAUGUGACACAUAUUUCAGGGAAACACAAAAGGCACUAAAGUAGAAAAGAUGAGAAAUGAUUUUAAAUGUUUUUGACGAACUGUAUACUAUAUUACAGAUAUAGUUACCAAAUAAAGCGCCUAAAAAUAAUUUAGAUGUAUCCAGAUGUUCAGAUCAGGAUUACGACACCUGAAAUGAUGAAUUUCCUGAAUUACCUGAAGUUGUUACCUCGUUGUUAUCCAUAGUUUUAACGCUUAUCGCUUGUGGUGAAAGGGACAUGCUUCUGGACAUGCAAGCUUACACUAAAACUAAAUUUCUCCUGUUGCUCAAGGAACGCUUUGUGUUGUUACCUUUAGAGUCCCCUCGCUGAAGCCUCUACUGAUCCUAUACAUUGUUUUUCACAACUACACGAGCACUGGUCCGUCCUGGUGGUUGAAUACCAACACAAUUGGGCACUCUAUUUUGACGUCACUGUGAAAAGCAUGAUGGGACUUGAUGUUCUGUAGAGCAACAAAACAACUGUCUCCAUACGCACAUCAUUUAUAUAUACAAUUUUACAAACAGUGACAGCAUACAGAAAGUGCAUAAAAACAACAGAAAUAGCAAUAGCGAUAAAAAAGAUUUUGUAAUCUAAUAACAUUUAUCAAGUUGAUUGUCGGGUCCCACAAUAAAAUAGCCGUCUUCCGCGUGUUCAGCUCUGUCUUUUUUUUUUUUUUAAAUAAAGUUGUUAAAAAAAAAAACUCGCACUUUGCCCCACGCACCCACAGCGGGAGGUUGUUCUCCAGCCUCGACAAUCAAAACUCACCUAAGCAGCUUCAAAUACAAAAAUCAGCAUUUUCGUUUAUCAGACAAACGGUUUGUACCUUCCACUUUCCCGCAAAAUGAAACACCAUUGUGAGAAAGAGACUCAGGCAAUUGGAAAUGGAUUCCAUCGACGGCUCCUUUGAUUACAGUUUUAGUGUGGACAGUCCGACGGGUCUGAACCAGGGUUUCCUGCUCAACACCGACAACGCCACAGACUCCAAUAUGUACGGCGUUAUCCCAGAAACACCCAGUCCACAGCCCAGCAAACGCAGGAGAAGUGACAGAGAAGAACAUUUAAAUCCAGAGGCUGUCAGCAGCUCUUCUUCUGAAGAGCUGUUCUCCAGUGGGGAACGAAAGUCUCUGUGUUCACGCAAGCGCAGGUGCCUGGUUGCUGGGAGCAGAAAACGUAGCGUCAGCUUAACUGCAUCACCAGAACAGAGAAUUUUUGACCUUUCUCCAACUGUGAGGACUUUACCCGAGGAAAGCUACCUGUCAUCUGCUUCCUCAACCUCCUCAUCAGUAGUGGAGCUGGAUGUUCAGGUGGUGGAUUCUCCUGUGGCCAGUCCUUCCCCUGCAAACAGUCCCAGUCCCGAAGCUGACAGGACAAGGAGCUGGGAAAGUCUGACCAUGUCAGCAGCCUCUUCAGCCUCACCGUUGCCAGCAGCUCUUCAGUCCGAUUUUCUUUUCUCCCUUACUGAUGUGGAGAGGAGGCAGCUCUGUGGGGGGCACGAAGAGAAUUUAGCAGCAGUGACAGAAAUCCUUGACAGAAGUCACGCUCGCCUGGAACAGGAGCAGGCAGACGAAGAGUUUGCUCGAUAUUUGCAGGUAGGAAGAUGUGCCACCUAUAGAGGUUGGCUGGACUGA